rnacentral:pre_miRNA from 1 species
ACAACAUUUGGCACCGUCGGUCUACCGAGCAAUUUCACCCGCUCCGUGGAAGAUCUUCGCUUCGUCGU